CAUCUACAAGACUGCUUUACUGCACUGCAGGAGUGCUACUCAGACGACUAGAGGCAGAUCCAGAUCUCCAAGGCGUGUCCCAUGUUAUUGUAGAUGAAGUUCAUGAAAGAACAGAGGAAAGUGACUUUUUGCUGUUGGUGCUGAAGGAUCUGAUCAUGGCUCGGCAUGAUCUGCGCAUUAUCCUGAUGAGUGCAACUCUGAAUGCACAGCUAUUUACAGAGUACUUCAAUUCUUGCCCCAGUAUUCAUAUUCCAGGACAUACUUUUCCAGUGGCUCAGUACUUCCUGGAAGAUACACUUACUAUGACUAGCAGGUUGACCAGAAUUGUACUCAGUACUACAAAAGUGGCC